GACGAAGGUGGCGAGCGUUGUUCGGAAUCACUGGGCAUAAAGCGCACGUAGGCGGCGACGUAAGUUGGGCGUGAAAUCCCUCGGCCCAACCGAGGAACUGCGCCCAGUACUGCGUUGCUUGAGGAUCCAAGGGGUGCAUGGAAUUCCCGGUGGAGCGGUGAAAUGCGUUGAUAUCGGGAGGAACUCCGGCGGCGAAAGCGGUGCACUGGUGGAUUACUGACGCUGAGGUGCGAAAGCCAGGGGAGCAAACGGG
rnacentral:rRNA from 1 species